AAGUUUAACAUUCAAAUUAGAAAUAUCAUUUGUAAUUGUAUUAGAAAAACAUAUGACUAAUUAAAAAUGUUAUACUAUAUGGUAGUGUAUAGCCGGCUAAAAACAUUAUGUGUCUUUUUAAAAGAUAGUAUUAGCUUUAACAAAACAAAACAAAACACAAAAUACUUGAAAAUGUUAUUUACCGGAUAAAACAAGAAAAUGACAGCUAAAAGUAGUAUUAGCUCGCAAAAACACAAGUUAGACAUCUAACAAUGACUUAGUUUUAACUUAUGCUGUGUAUGAGACUUGCCAUUAAUUUUGAAUAAAAUUUUGCAUUAUUAGCAUAUUCAAGAUUAAUAGCAAGUAGAUAAAUAAGUUGUUAUCUGUUAUUAAAUAAGUUAACCAUUCAACAACAAAUCUCAAAAAUCUAAAUUCAAUGAUACAUGUAGAAAUAUUAUCAAAUUGUUACAGUGUUGUUAGAUAUGUUAAUAGGUUAAGGUACAUUCUUAUAACAACUUCUUACAUCCUCGUCAUAUUCCCUCACAACAACCACAACGUAUUCUAGAUAUACACCAUUGUUUUCCACAACCUCGGUUUUUGCUUUACAGUUGCUAGGUUUCAAAAUUGCCGUUUCACACAUCAAUAUUACAUUCUCCAUCUUAACGUCUUUCACAGGAAUUAUGUUCUCGAGGGACACUGAAGAAAAGAAUAAAAUGUUCUCGAGAUACAUGUUAACAUCAGUGCCGUGCAAAAGUUUUCGGAGUCCGGACGAGUUAAAAUUUUUUUACAUGAUCUUUUUUUUCUGAAAAUAGUUCUAUUUAAAUUCAAAUUAUAUAAUAUUUUUUUUGAAAAAACAUAUAAAUAUAACUAAAAAGUUUUGAUUUAUUACCUAAAUAUUUUCUAAAUUUUCUGCACCAGACUUUUAUAAACUAAAAUAAAAUAAUGAUCAAAAAUAGGAAUUAGAAAUAUAAAAACAAAAAUAAAAAUUGUGGAUUGAAAUGGUGGUCGUUGUUAAAGGGCUAAAUCUUAGCGUUUAAAUUAAAUACAAUAAACUAUAUAUUCAAAAUAUUAUAAUUUGUUAAUCAAAUUUUAUAAAUAUCUAAAAUAAAUCUAACUCAUAACGUAUACCAAGAUGAAAAAUGUGGAUCAAAUAUUUACAGUUAAUUAGAAAUAGAAUCUUUAUAGUUUUACAUAAAAUAUAGUAAAAUUGAUCAUAAAUUAGUUUUUUAAGGGAUAAUUUGCUUAAAACCAAAGAAAACUUAUGAUAUUAGCUACGUACCAAGAACAGUAAAACUUGUAGUUUUGUUGGCAUAAUGGAUGAUAUGUAAUGACGAAAUUAGCCUCAGAUGUUUCGGAUAGAACUUGUGUCCUAUAGGGAAGUACAAUUAAUAGGUUAGCUGAGAAUAUUUUAUUAGAUUUGCCGAUAUUUGGCAAAGAUUUAGUAUAGAUUUGGUUAUAUUAAACAAAAAUACUUGUUUUCUCUCUCAUUAUCGUUGUUUUUUUCUUCAUCUUCUUCUUCUGUUUUUUUUUACAUUUGUCUGAUGAAUCUAAACAAAAUUAAAAAGAUCGUGAAUUCUGAACAAUUUCAUGAGUUCACAAGUUUCUCUGCUUAUUUCUUUAGGAGUUCAUGAGUUGCAAACAACCAAAGAAGAUCAUGAAUUUCCUUCUUCUUUUUCCAUUUUCUUCCUCUACAUAAACACUUGAGCGCAUCCAACCAUUCAUCAUCAUUAUCAAAGUCCCGAACAAGAUUAUGAGUUCUCUCUACCAGAGUUCAUUCUCUAUCAUACAAAAAAUUCCUCGGGUCAUUUUUCCAACAAUCAAGACGAUACCGUCUCAGAAUUAGCUUGCUGUCUGGUCGUGUAUAUGGUUGUUAUUCGUUUAGCCAGCUAAUCAAAUAUGGACCUGGUCUACUUCACCAUCCUCCACUUGAUAAAAACUCAGUGACACGAUGUGAACUAACACAAACAAAGAUUAUAGUUAGUUGUUUUAUAUUCUUUUCAGUGACAUAAUGAACUGAUCUUGCAAAACAGGUUUGGAGAUGAGCUUGAGAAGUUCUAAAUAAUUUAUUUUGAAAAUGCUAAAUUAUUUGAGUACUAUAUAUUGAUGAUAGUUACAAUAAGUUAAAAACUUCUAAUAUGAUGUAUCAAAGAGCUAUGCUAUGAUAAUAUGAUAAUUAGACGAGUACAAUAUAUAAUGGAUGUAUAUAUUAAUUCUUAGCUUGUGUAUAGAGGAGUUUAGCUGGUUAUAAAUGAUUCAAAUAUAUUAUUCUUGAAAUGAUGGUUAUUUACAUUUUAGCUUAGCCAUACACAUUAAAAUAUUGAUUUGCUUAUCAGUGACACAAUGUGAACUAACACAAAGAUCAUAGUUAGUUUUCUUAUAUUGAGUUCAAUGACACGAAGUGAAUUAAUCUUGUAAAACAGGUUUAGAGAUGAGCUUGAGGAGGUCCAACUAGCUAAUUCGUAUUGAAAAUGUUAAAUUCGUAUAUUGAUGAUAGUUACGGUAAGUUAAAAAUUUCUAGUAUGAUAUCAAAUAGUUAUGCUAUGAUAAUAUGAUAAUUACAUGGCUACAAUAUAGCAUGGAUGUAUAUAUUAAAUCUUAGCUUGUGUAUAGAGGAGUUUAGCCGGUGUAGAUGAUUCAAAUAUAUUAUUCUUGAAAAUGAUGGUUAUUUUCAUUUUAGUUUAGCCAUACAUAUUUGAUUAAAAUGAAAGGUUUUAGCCUAUCUUUUUUAUUAGUUGAAGUAGUGGAUGGCUACAAUAUAUCAUGGACAUAUAAAUUAAAUCUUAGAUUGCGUAGACCAUAUUUAGCCGGUUACAAAGGAUUCAAAUAUAUCAUUCCUAAAAGUGGUGGCAGUUUGACUUAGCCAUACAUAUAAAGUGAUAGACAAUACUUUAUUUGCCAACACGGAUAACAACUUGAGAAUACAAACUCAGGGACAUUUAAAAAUCUACGUAUGAACAAUAUACAUAACAAGAGUCUAAUAGUAAAAUAGAGAAUGGUAGAUGACACAUAGAAUUACUAUUAAGAGUAAAAAAAUUAUUCGUUUUUUCAAACAUAAUAUUAGUUUCAACAAAAAGAAAUACAAAAUACUUAAAAAUGUUGUUAACCGGAUAAAAUAGGCAAACCCGAGCUAAACAUAAAUUUUAGCCCGCAAGAAGAAAGGUUAGACGUCUAAAUGACUCAGUAUCACCAAAACUUGUUUUAAGUUAGGCUAUGGAGAACUAAUUUUAUAUUUGCAUUGCUAACACAUUAUUUAUGUUAUAUGAAAUAUGAUAGUAGCAUAUCAAUAUAAAAGUAGGUAAAUGACUUAUUAUAAGAUAUGCUGCUUACAUGUUAGUUAAAUGAAGUUUAACAUUCAAAUUAGAAAUAUCAUUUGUAAUUGUAUUAGAAAAACAUAUGACUAAUUAAAAAUGUUAUACUAUAUGGUAGUGUAUAGCCGGCUAAAAACAUUAUGUGUCUUUUUAAAAGAUAGUAUUAGCUUUAACAAAACAAAACAAAACACAAAAUACUUGAAAAUGUUAUUUACCGGAUAAAACAAGAAAAUGACAGCUAAAAGUAGUAUUAGCUCGCAAAAACACAAGUUAGACAUCUAACAAUGACUUAGUUUUAACUUAUGCUGUGUAUGAGACUUGCCAUUAAUUUUGAAUAAAAUUUUGCAUUAUUAGCAUAUUCAAGAUUAAUAGCAAGUAGAUAAAUAAGUUGUUAUCUGUUAUUAAAUAAGUUAACCAUUCAACAACAAAUCUCAAAAAUCUAAAUUCAAUGAUACAUGUAGAAAUAUUAUCAAACUGUUAUAGUGUUGUUAGAUAUGUUAAUAGGUUAAGGUACAUUCUUAUAACAACUUCUUACAUCCUCGUCAUAUUCCCUCACAGCAACCACAACGUAUUCUAGAUAUACACCAUUGUUUUCCACAACCUCGGUUUUUGCUUUACAGUUGCUAGGUUUCAAAAUUGCCGUUUCACACAUCAAUAUUACAUUCUCCAUCUUAA
rnacentral:lncRNA from 1 species